rnacentral:rRNA from 1 species
UACGUAGGGGGCAAGCGUUGUCCGGAAUCAUUGGGCGUAAAGAGCGUGUAGGCGGCCUGUUAAGUCUUGCGUGAAAUCUCGGGGCUCAACCCCGAGCGGUCGUGAGAAACUGGCAGGCUAGAGUGCGGGAGAGGAGAGUGGAAUUCCUGGUGUAGCGGUGAAAUGCGCAGAUAUCAGGAAGAACACCGGUGGCGAAGGCGGAUCUCUGGGCCGAUACUGACGCUGAGGAGCGAAAGCGUGGGGAGCGAACAGG